rnacentral:rRNA from 1 species
UGUGCUAAUACCGCAUAAUCUCUCAGGAGGAAAGCAGGGGAUCGCAAGACCUUGCGCUUUAGGAGCGGCCGAUGCCUGAUUAGCUUGUUGGUAAGGUAAAAGCUUACCAAGGCUUCGAUCAGUAGCUGGUCUGAGAGGACGACCAGCCACACUGGGACUGAGACACGGCCCAGACUCCUACGGGAGGCAGCAGUGGGGAAUUUUGGACAAUGGGGGAAACCCUGAUCCAGCCAUGCCGCGUGAGUGAAGAAGGCCUUCGGGUUGUAAAGCUCUUUCAGCCGGACGAAACGGU